rnacentral:rRNA from 1 species
UACGUAGGCAGCGAGCGUUGUUCGGAUUUACUGGGCGUAAAGCGUGCGUAGGCGGUGUCUUAAGUUUGUUGUGAAAUCUCCCGGCUUAACCGGGAGGGUGCGGCGAAUACUGAGAUGCUGGAGUGCCGGAGAGGUAAGCGGAAUUCCUGGUGUAGCGGUGAAAUGCGUAGAUAUCAGGAGGAACACCUGCGGUGUAGACGGCUUACUGGACGGUAACUGACGUUGAGGCACGAAAGCGUGGGUAGCAAACAGG